rnacentral:rRNA from 1 species
AACGAACGCUGGCGGCAUGCCUAACACAUGCAAGUCGAACGAGAUCUUCGGGUCUAGUGGCGCACGGGUGCGUAACGCGUGGGAAUCUGCCCUUUGGUUCGGAAUAACAGUUGGAAACGGCUGCUAAUACCGGCAGAUGACGAAAAUCCAAAGAUUUAUCGCCAGAGGAUGAGCCCGCGUAGGAUUAGCUAGUUGGUGUGGUAAAGGCGCACCAAGGCGACGAUCCUUAGCUGGUCUGAGAGGAUGAUCAGCCACACUGGGACUGAGACACGGCCCAGACUCCUACGGGAGGCAGCAGUGGGGAAUAUUGGACAAUGGGCGAAAGCCUGAUCCAGCAAUGCCGCGUGAGUGAUGAAGGCCUUAGGGUUGUAAAGCUCUUUUACCCGGGAUGAUAAUGACAGUACCGGGAGAAUAAGCUCCGGCUAACUCCGUGCCAGCCGCCGCAGUAA